rnacentral:rRNA from 1 species
GACGAACGCUGGCGGCGUGCUUAACACAUGCAAGUCGAACGGUAAGGCCCUUCGGGGUACACGAGUGGCGAACGGGUGAGUAACACGUGGGUGAUCUGCCCUGCACUUCGGGAUAAGCCUGGGAAACUGGGUCUAAUACCGGAUAGGACCACUGCCUGCAUGGGUGGUGGUGGAAAGCUUUUGCGGUGUGGGAUGGGCCCGCGGCCUAUCAGCUUGUUGGUGGGGUGAUGGCCUACCAAGGCGACGACGGGUAGCCGGCCUGAGAGGGUGACCGGCCGCACUGGGCGUGAGAUCCGGCCCAGACUCCUGCGGGAGGCAGCAGUGGGGAAUAUUGCAUAAUGGGCGCAAGCCUGAUGCAGCGACGCCGCGUGAGGGAUGACGGCCUUCGGGUUGUAAACCUCUUUCAGCACCGACGAAGCGCAAGUGACGGUAGGUGCAGAAGAAGGACCGGCCAACUACGUGCCAGCAGCCGCCGUAA